UACGUAGGGCGCAAGCGUUAUCCGGAAUUAUUGGGCGUAAAGAGCUCGUAGGCGGUUUGUCGCGUCGGAUGUGAAAGCCCGGGGCUUAACCCCGGGUCUGCAUUCGAUACGGGCAGACUGGAGUGUGGUAGGGGAGAUCGGAAUUCCUGGUGUAGCGGUGAAAUGCGCAGAUAUCAGGAGGAACACCGGUGGCGAAGGCGGAUCUCUGGGCCAUUACUGACGCUGAGGAGCGAAAGCGUGGGGAGCGAACAGG
rnacentral:rRNA from 1 species